rfam:Ipomoea nil DNA, scaffold: scaffold2283, cultivar: Tokyo-kokei standard.
GUGGGUGUGCCGGAGUGGUUAUCGGGCAUGACUAGAAAUCAUGUGGGUUUUUCCCGUGCAGGUUCAAAUCCUGCCGCUCACG